rnacentral:tRNA from 1 species
CGGGCCGUGGCGCAGAUGGUAGCGCGCUUCCUUGGGGUGGAAGAGGUCGCCGGUUCAAGUCCGGCCGGCCCGACCA